GCCUCACGAAGGUAGGUGGCCAUGAGCAGCCGAGACGCAAGCUCCUUGUACUUCCUAGUCAUGUCGUCGACGGCCGCCCUAUCCCGCCGUUUGCAGAGGGGUCUCCAAAGCUGCAGAAAGCCACAAAGUUUGUAGAUCGCAUCAGUGGGCCUGACCGGAAAGACACGCUCAAUAACGAGUUUAUUCCUAAUGCACCAUAAAGUCCAUGCCAAGGUCCCAAAAUUGAUCCACAUUAAUCUGUGGACCUGGCCCGAGCAGGCCAAUAGCAAGUGGAAGAACUCCAGGAAACUUGUAGGACACCACCCAUUGUCCCACACGCCCCUAAGGGCACUCCACAAAAAUUGGGCCGAAACGUGGUAAAAGAUGAUGUGAUUGAGAUCCUCGUCGACCUCGCAAAGGGGACACACUCCGGUUCCCGGGCCACUGCGCUUGCGAACCUGGUCACCUGAUGGCAGCCGACCGUGCACCAGCUGCCAUAGGAAAAUUUUAAUUUUAGGCAGAAGCAUAGUUCGCCAAAUUUCCGUUAAUUCCUCCGUACCUUGACCAGCUGCCAUCCUGCCAUAAAGGGAUUUAGUAGAGAAACAACAAGAUGGGUCAAGAUGCCAAUAGGUGGCGUCCGUCGCGUCCAAGAGGGCCAUACACGCUAGGAGCGACUCCACCAGCCCCCAUCCCACCGCCUCAUCCGGGUCAAACAUGCGCUGGAACGUGAGUACAGUACCCCCAUUCUGGACCUCUAGAGCAACCGAGAUAGCCAGUUGGUUGGAAAUAGCGAAGAGCGCCGGAAAUUGCGCCCUGAGAGGGUUGUUUGUUGCCUGCCCAACAAUCUAGCCAAAAACGGGUGUCAGAUCCCGUCCCUACCGUCACCGCUGCCCCCAGGCGGAAACACGGUUUAAGUGACUGAAUCUCCUGCCAGAACUGGGAACCUCUCGAGUACAAACACAUCGAAAAGGAUUGGCCCCUGAGAUAUUUCGCCUUAAUAAGGCCGAGCCACAAGCCUCCCUCGCCCUGGAAAAUGUGCCAAAUCCAUUUGGUCAUAAGGCGAAUAUUCAUACAUCUAGUAGAGGUAAUGCCCAGACCCCCCUGGUCUUUAGGCAUGCAAAUGUCGUUCCACUUAACCAUAUGAUACUUCUGUUUACCGGCCUCUCCUUGCCAAAAGAACCCAGACUGGAACUUGUCCAAGUCAGUUGUGCCACCUCCCGAAAGAGGUUAGGCCCAUUGGCCAGUGCAAACAUUGGCAAGCUCACAUUAAGCAGCAAGAAUAAUCUCUUUCAAUGAGAAUAAUGUAGCAUAUAUAUAUUUCAUUUUCCCUCUAAUAAAUGAUACCUUGAGGCUGAUGGAAUUAUUCCCCUUUUCUCAACUUGAUGCUUGUAGAACCUUGAUUCCGACCCAGGUGCAGCAAGAGUCUACCAUUGUAUUGUAGAGAUAACAGGGGAUUCUGUAGUGAAAGUUUUCAAGGUUUGUUACACUUCUAAUAUUUCUGCAUCAUCUUCUUAUAUUUAUUGUUUCACUGUGAUAUUAUGUUGAUGACCUGCUAUUCGAUGUAUGCGCACCUACCGACCAUGUUUUUUUACUGCUUCUGUUGAUUUAUUUCGAGUGUGUUUGUUCCUCUAGAUUUACCUAUAGGUAUAUUCCAGACACGCAUACUGUGCAAGCUGUAACAAAGUGUAAGUAUGCAUUUUAUGAUAAUCAUGUGAUUGUGAUUGCAUAAGUUGGUGAAUCAUGUGUAGCAGUAUGCUAGUAUAAUUAUGAAUAUUUAGGCAAAUGUCAACAAAACUAAUUCCUUUAGGGACCAAAAUCGACAAAUGUUGCGUACAACAAGGAAUUUCCAUUUGAAGGUCAGACCAAUCUUAUAUUUUAACUUUAUUUGACUGGAGACAGGGACCAUAUGUACAAAAUAUGCGGACUCAUUUGCAAAAAAUUGUUGGUGAUGAUAACGUCCUCUUGGUAAAGUUUAUGGGGCAAUCUUCAGAGCCUGUGACUGAUUUUCUACCUUACCAUAAGGUUGCCGAAGAUGGUAUUAUUCUGGGUUUGCGCUGCUACCGUUUUUUUGGUAAGUUCUCCUCUUAUAAUAUUCUCAGUUUUUCUUUGUUAACAAGAUUGCCAUACCGAGGAGUGUGCAUACUGUAGAGACGAUUUCUGCCUUCUGUGGUGUGCCACUAGGUGUUAAUAAGCUGAUCCCUGCAUAGGCUGGCACAUACGGAUUAUUUGCAGGUGUAUGAGAAUGAGAUAGAGCAAGAUUUCAUUUAGUUAUAUGACAUUUAGAUGAGAAGAUCCAGGAAAAGACGUGUUUGUGUUUGGUUGAUUAGAAUUGAAUAAUAUGCAUAUCAUUGUAUUCCAUUUUGAUUUAUUCAAUUAAUGCCAAACUUGAUUUAUAGAACCCCGAAUGAUCAUUGAUUGUUGGCACCCAACCCACCCUUAAUUACUACUCCCUCUGUAAAGAAAUAUAAGAGCAUUUAGAUCACUAAAGUAGUGAUGUAAUCGCUUUUAUAUUUCCUUACGGAGGGAGUAUUAAUUAGUAUGGUUUUCCAGUGUUACCACUGCCUAAUCUUUCCUACUUAUAAUACUUAUAAAGGUUGGAGUUGGUGAGUUCACAUGUGGGACCAACAACCUUCACCAGUAAACAAAUGCACCUCUACCCACAUUGGAAACAGCAACCUUCCAAGUAUAUGAAUAAACAAAUGUAUUUCUACUCAUAUGUGGGACCUAACACAGCUAAACAAAUACACUACUACUUUCAUGUGAGACCAACACUUGCAGAAGGCACAAAUAACAAAUGCAGAUAUGCGACUCCAACUCAAUAUAAUGCUUUUGUUUGUCAUUUUUUUUUCCUUCCCAGCGAAGUUAUUUCAGUUUUAUAUCACAAAACAAGAGAGUGAAUAAAUUGCAAUUCCAAAACGAUGAUAGACCUUGUCCUCCUGUCUUACCCGAUCCACAACCUUGUGCAGUCAACAUACCAAUGUCAAUUCUCAUAUGUUUCAACAUUCGAAAUGUUGUAUCUGUAAAGGACUAUGGUCACUUAAGAUUCUCCAAUGCCUGACGCAUGAUUUUUUGUUGUUUGUAUGCUUGUUCUUUUCAAUAGUGAACUGCGCGCAAAGGUCCUAUGAUGCCAACGUAUUUGGACGAUUUCCUAAGCCAGUGACCUAUCUCCUCGUAUCUUAUAGUUUUGUUGGUACGCACAUGCAUUGUGGUAGUACUAGUACUCCAGCACCAAGAGAGUGUAAUUACAAUAAAUUCAGCUAUAAUUGUUAACAAUGUAUAUUUAUUACCAAGAUGCGUCAAUGCCCCACCGGCAGUCACUUGGGUGAUUAUGUUCACAGUGCUGUUCACAGNNNNNNNNNNNNNNNNNNNNNNNNNNNNNNNNNNNNNNNNNNNNNNNNAAUACAAACAACUUGUCUUGGAAUUUAAACUGCUAGAUUGUCCAUAUGUUUACUUGGAUCAUGGGGGAUAGUCUAAACAAUCAUGUCACAAGAAGCAGCGGCCAAAGAGACCAACCAUAGGAGUAGAUGGUGUCUAGAGCAUAGGAGUUUAAUGUUGAGAUUGGCAUGGCUCUAUGCAGCAAAAUGGAGACCAUGCCUACCAUAAGUAUUGUCAAUGUUGGUUCAAAUAUUGUGAUGAUGGCAGCGACAGUAAAUCAUGGACAAUGGUGGCCUUCCUUUUCUUUUAACCUUUUGAGGAAAGGUUGGUACAGUUGUGGCCUCAUGAUGGUUAGAGGAGGUUGGCGAAGCAUCAGAUUUAGGAUUGUAUGGUUGACGUAUAUGUGAAUUACCCAACCUUCACCAUCAGUUCGGACUUUUGGUUCAACUGGCAGGUGCUUUAACCUUAAUAUGCUAUUAUAGCCAAAAGGUCUUGGGUUCAAGUCUUGACUUCCGCAAUUAAAUAAAAAAAUUGCUUGCCCCCUUCCUGUCCUUUUUUUGGCCUUGUCAAACCACUCCUAAGUGGGGGUGUCGAAGUAUAUGUAAAUUACCUAACCUUCUCCAUCCAUUAGGACUUAUGGUUCUACUGGUUGGUGCUUGGAACUUAAUAUGUAUGGCAUAGAGCUUGAGAAUAACAUGCUGAUCUCGUUAUAACUACCCUAUGUUAUGCUGUGAAUGGAGAAGAGAAGCAUGAGAGGUUAAAUCAGAGUCCAGUGGAAAGGUGAUGUCAUUUCCAUGAGUUGAAAGUAGUGUCUGACAAUGAUGUGCUAGGUGGGAACACAUGCUAUUAGAUUGGCAAACAAUACAGUAGUGAAGAGUCCUUGGUAUUGCGCUUGUGAGAUGUGUCAUGGCGAUAGUGUAUUCGUGACAUAGGGUUAGGUUUUAGGACCUCUCUACAUGUUUAGAUGUGUCAUGGCGAUGGCGAUAGUUCUCAUGAAAAGACAAUUUAGACUUGCUAAUCCACUCAUCUACAUGUUUAAUGUGAGGGACAGUCAAGUAUAUUCUUAUGAUUUCUACUUUGCUUGUUGCCUCUGUUACUUGCAUUGGGAUUUAGGAAUAUGGUAUCUUCCAUGGUUGGAAAAUUGGCUCGCUGAUGUUGUGAGCACGUGCAUACUGGAAAACACAGCGCAAUAUAUGGUUGAAAAGUAAGACUUGUUUUCAUCUGGCAAAUGAGAUACCAGUGCUAUUUUUCUUGUUAGCAAAACCUAUGAUAUUGUAAAGUGCUUCCCUUAGGUUUCUUGCAGCUAACUUGAGGUUGGUUUCACGAACUUUCUUGACUGAUGUCUAUUUAUUUAGUUUACAAGGAUGGAGGAAAAGAUGAGAAAAAGAAAGAAGAGAAAAUAAAUUGGGAAAACAAGAACUGCGCUUCAGGCGUGAAAUGCUACUUUGUUCGCACAGAGUCUGGAUGGAAUAUGGAUGAACCUUACAUACUCUCUGGCAAGACAAUCAAUCAGGCUCGCAAACUAUUCAUGCACAUACAUACCGCUCCCACCUUGGCGAAAUAUAUGGCUAGGUUUUUUCUUCUAACGUUAUUGAAUAGUACCAGCCUAUUGAUGUUGUGUUGUUGUUAGAUGAAUGAUAUGUUGUUGCUACCAUGAUGGGAAUAUUCUUAGAAACAAGCAAAAAGAGGCAUAUUUCAGAAGGCUAAAGUUCCAUUUAGUUGGAAGAUAAGCUUGUACUACAUGAGAAAUCCAAUUACCUAGGUUUUCUGUUCCUCGUCCCCAUGUUGCUGCUGUUGAACUAUUUAAAACCCUCUAAACAGACAAAACCCUGAUUUUUAUUGUAAUUUGCUGUCCCCAUGUUGCUGCUUUUAUACUAUUUAAAACCUCUGAACAGACAAAAUCCUGAUUUUUUAUGAUCUUGCUGUCCCCAUGGCUGUUGCUGUAGUCUCUCUGUUUAAAACUUGUGUUCUUCCAUUGGAUGUUGCAGGUUUGCUUUGAUACUAUCAAAAACUAUCACAAUGGAGGUUGAUUUAUCAGCGGUUCAUGUUAUACAGCUUGAUGAUAAACCUUGCAUCGUAAGUCUCUCAUUCCACUGUAUUUGAUCUUGCUUCUGAAAUGUAAACUUAUCUCAAUGUAAUAUUUCAGGAUGGAUAUGGGGGCAUUCUUGAACGAGAUGGGGAACUCCUGAUCCAUACUGAUGGAACUGGCCUAAUAUCUGAAGAUUUGGCUAAGAAAUGCCCACCAAUUAUGUAUAAGGGAAAACUUUUGAAGCCACAAGUUUGUGCACUUUCCCUUCAUGCCUUAUACCUUUAUAGUAGAAUUUAUGAACCUUAGUUAUAAUAUAUUUUCUUACUUAUGUAGAUUUUUGUUUGCUCCCCUGAUGUUUAUUGUUUUGUAAAUGAUGAAGCAAACUUGAAUUAUGGUUUACCAGAUCACUGUAUGCAUACCGAAACAACUUGGAUAAACAAGAUUCCUUACUGUUGCUAAAUAAUACACCAUGGUGGUAGAACCACAUUUAAACUGGCUCAGGUGGUUAAAUAACACAUAGACAUUUGUUUUAUCUUCAGGGAAUUGGUUAGACGAUUUUGCAGUCUGGGGUAUUAAACCAUCAAUCCCCCCGGGAUUCUGGGGGUUAAAUAGACUCCUUGUUUAUACAAGGCACAUUUCAGCAUACAACUUCUCUGCUUUCAGAUUGUUCAUAUCACUGCACUAUUCCUUUUGGGUUCCUUUAAAAUUAGAUUGCAUUUGAAAACACGAAUAUUGUUAAGGUUUAUGCAUGUGGUUACUGUUACCAUAUUCACUUUCUUUCUUGUUCCAACCGAAGUAUCUUUCACUGAUCAUUCCUUAUUUUUCAAAGAGUUCCAUUAGAUCAAGUGGUACUAGUAAUUUCUAUAUCUGUCAUUCAUGUACAAAACGACUACUGCUGCAUUUCCUCUAUAAAUGCCCCCCCUCGUGGAAUUCAUGCUCUUCAAAACUUUCAGCAAGGAUUGCUAUUGGCAGUAUAUUAUUCUAACUCGCUAAAAGAGUUUUUUUUUUCGAGAAAACACAAAGGACCUUUGUGUUUCAUUUCAGAGGUCCUUUGCGUUUUCUCGAAAAAAACUCUUUUAGCAAACCUCUUAUUGUUUUAUUAUGCCUUGCUCAGGAUGUUCAGGCUUGUGAUGAUACACUUAUGCCGUCUCCCCAUUCGAAGAGACAACGGUCUAUCGCCAGUAAACCUGUAUCGUGUUAACCAUGUUCUGAUAUACUGCAUUAUGAAUGUGUUAUGAUUUAACUAAUAUAUUUGUUGUUUCUUAUCUGUUCUUCUCUAGCCUCUUCUUAUUCAGUUCCGGAUGUUCUAUAAAGGAUCAGCUGUUAAGGGAACUGCAUUAAUUGACAGAAGGGUAUGGACUAAGAGUUUCAGACAUUGUACCACUUCAAAUUCAAAUUACUAGUCUUAUUAUUUGUUGCAUUCUUUUUAGCAAAUACAAGCGGGCGCAAGUGUGCAUAUUCUUUUGAUCCUUAUAGCAGGAUGGGGCCCUGGUGCAUAGCGGACGGCUAAAGUGUGCUGAUAAUGUCAGAAGAGGUCACGGUAGACCGAAUCUGACAUGGGAGGAGUCCGUAAAGAGAGAUUUGAAGGUCUGGAGUAUCACCAGAGAACUAGCCAUGGACAUGGGUGCGUGGAAGCUUGCUAUCCAUGUGCCAGAACCAUGAGCUGGUCGCGAGAUCUUAUGGGUUUCACCUCUAGCCUACCCCAACUUGUUUGGGACUAAAGGCUUUGUUGUUGUUGUUGUUGUUGUUGUUGUUGUUAUUGUUAUAGUAGGAUGGUCUUAGUUUUGUUAUGGGUCUGAAGUUUAGUGUAAUUGUACAUGAGCUCGAGUAUAAUUUCAAGAAAUGCAGCAGUUAGCUGUUUUUCGUAUAUGAUAGACAGAUUGGAGAAACUAUUACCACCUUUUAUAUCAGUUUACUGGUAUCAGCUAAGCACAAUUUCUUUGGUUCAUGUUGAUUUUCUCAGCGGGUGGUUAUCUUCUUGCUGAACCUGUUGGUCAUUCUUCAUUUGUCUUUCUCCAAUAUACUCAUUUGUUAUAUAGUUUUGAAGUUUACAUAGCACGUGCUCUUAUUAUUUUAUCUUGUCCAAACUUCAAACACUUUCUAAAGAAUAACUUUAUUUUCUGUUGCAGCUUCCUCCUGGAACUAUUCUUGUACGGCCAUCAAUGAUAAAAAUAAAAUCCGAUCCAAAAUUAUGUGGUGUACAGUCCGUUAACUCUUGGGAAUUGAUAAAAAUGAAAGCUGAUCCAAAAUCAUAUUGUGUCCAGUCGGUCAACUCUUUGGAAAUUGUUACGACAAGGUAUGACAUGAACCUUUGAGUUGCACUCUUAUGCUUAUUUAGGCAUUAAGUACAUACUUAGUUACACGUCAAUACUGUGGAUUGCUAUGUCUAUGCAUGUUGUUGGAGCUGUAAAGUCUCCUGAAAGUAUUUAUUUAAUCCUUAUCGGUGGCAUUCAGAUUACGCACAAUAGUCAAGUGAACUUCUUUUGUUGCAGUUCACUGUGAUGUUGUGUGGCUAUGCUUUAUUUGUCUUGACCCAGUCGUUUCUCGAAUUCCGAUUGAAAUAAGUCCCUCCUAGGUUAGUUUCUCCUUUGUAUCACUCCUACAAUAUAACUGUCAAAAAUGGUAUGUGGCGGCAACAGGGGAAAGUCUUUCAAUUUGGAGAGGAAUAAAAAAUCUGAACCCACCGAAAUCUCCAGAGUUUCUCAUUUUAACAAACAAAAGCACUCUAAGAGUUUGCACUUUACUUGAUCCUUUUCAAAGGAAAGGACAUAUUCCAAAAAUAGAAGCUUCUUGGUUGACUUGUUUUUCUGAAUUGGCAAGUCCUGUAUACAGCAGGUUGAGUUUACCCUGAGUGAGGCGUUGAUAUCGAACUUAGCUUUGGUGCCUAAGAAGCUCUGUCCCACAAACCUUUCAAAUCACUGCACUUGUUCUUCAUUUUUCACACCUAUGCAAAUAAAAGAUAUACAUGUUAAUAUCAGGAAAAAGGAAGCAACCUGUUUUGCCUUUGACGGUUAAACAUGCUGUUUAGUUUUUUUAGCUGUGACUAAUUACUUGCUUUUGCUUGAUAGUUUAAACUUUUUGAUGAGUUCAUUGGUGCAUGAAACUUGAUGUGGUACUCGAUAGUUUAAACUUUUUGAUGAGUUCAUUGGUGCAAAAAACUUGAUGCGGUAGCAUUUGGGAACUCAUGGUGUAAGACUUUGGUGGGUGCUGGUUAAGUGGGGAGGUAAGAGUGAUAUUAAAGUGUGAGCGGGAGUGCCUACCUUUCUGCAACAUCUUAAGCCAUGUGAGUUAGGACAUGUUGAUUGUGCUUGGUUCACAAGAGGUAUAAUAUCUUUCUUUGUUUCCUCAGCACUCAACCAAAAAGGACAUUAACAUCGAAGUACCUGAUUGCACUACUUCGUUAUGGAGGAGUUAAAGAAGAGUUCUUUAUGGAGCUUCUAGAAAAUGCAAUUGAAGGGGCUGAGAACGCUCGUUGUGAUUAUGAGGACGCACUAAACAGUUAGUGGCAUAUUUUCCAUGCACUACAUUUUAUGAAUUGGCACAUAUAUGUGCUUCUUUCUGCUCUUAUCUUACAGUUAGGCUAUGAUAGUCUGCCAUUUGCAUUCACCUGCUUGCAUUUGAUACAAACCUCUUUUCGAUCUUGUUCUUGCAGUUGCAUUUGUCUAUGCAGACAUGGAGGAUUCGCUAUCGGCACGAAUGAUUUUGUCUGGAAUUCCACUAGAUGAUGCAUAUUUGCAGUCCAGGCUGGCUAUCAUGGCUCAACAAGAAAGAAAGGGAAUCAAGCAAGGAAAGCUACCAAUCAGUAAUUGCUUUUAUUUGAUGGGUACAACAGAUCCGACAGGGAAACUCAAAGCCAAUGAAGUUUGUGUGGUCCUGUAAGUGGUAGACAUACUUUUUUGGAUCUGCACGCCUUUUGAAUUCUGUUAUGUGUAUAUUCCCUUGAUCCAUGAUUUUACUGGUCACACCAUUUAGGAGUUUCUGAAGACACAGCUACUUUAUUGAUAUUUGAUGUUUCUGAAGUCACAAGGAUAUGCGUAUUCGUGUGUGCGGACUGAAAAGUAUUUUAAAUUACAGUUCUAGAAGUGUGUGUGUUAGUUGACCUGACUGUGCUUCUGGUUGAAAAGAAGAGUUGUUAACCACUGAUAAUAAUCAUAAUAUUCCUUCAUUAUGAGUUAAUUCUUUGAUAAACCUGAUUAUAAGAUCGUAACCAUAUGUGGGUAUUUGGGGCUUCAAGCUGUUGUCUUGAGGGAUAUUUUAAUGCCAUUAUUCCUUUCGGUUGGUCAGAUAUAGACUGACCUGACGUUAUAUAGUCUAAAGGGAGAUUGAGAUUUAAUUUGUAUGUCUAUUUGUAUUUAGAAAAGUCUGUAAGAGAUAUUUUGGAUUCCUAAAAGGUUUUGAUAUCGUGGAAGGCAUUACAAACUUCCAUUCUUUAGAUGGUCUUAGGGUCCUUAAAACAUCCAUCAUGGUGCAGCCAUUAUUUAUUGGAGUACUGAAAGCAGUUCCUUUUUUCUGCACCGAGAUGCAAGACUUUUGUGUUUUCUCAAAUAAAAACAGUUAUUUCCCUCUCUCCUUUCUCUGUUUGUUACUUACUUUAUACGCUUUUAUUAAACAGUGAGAAUGGACAAUAUUGUGGAAAUGUGCUUGUCUACAAACAUCCUGGGUUACACUUCGGUGAUAUACAUGUCUUGACAGCAAGAUACAUCAAGGAUAUAGAUGAUGUAGUAGGAUAUUCAAGAUAUGCUAUACUUUUCCCUACCUCUGGCCCACGAUCUUUGGCUGAUGAGAUGGCCAAUAGUGAUUUUGAUGGGGACAUGUACUGGGUCUCGAUAAACGAAGAGGUCAGUUCAUUGCUAAUUGACAUUUUAUUUUGAAUUUCAUUGGAAAACAUCAUCUUCCAUGGCCCGUUUCAGACCUCAAUAACCAAAGUGGCCCUUCUUUUUGCAAGGACAAAUGCCACUUUGGUCGUUACCCUUAAAAUAUUAACUAUGCUAGCUUCUUCAUUUUUAAAGGACUUCAGUUAUUCAUGUCCUAGCAUUAGUACUACUCAUUGCUUAUCCUUGUCGAGCCUUUGGCAAUUUCUGAACUAUAUAUAGGUUUUCUAAUACAUGCUUUGUUACUACAUUGGCUACAAUAGAUUCAUCAAGUCAUGUGUAUCAUUGCAGUAGUGAUGAAGCAUUAUAAAAUGGUUUUGGUAUUGUAGCAAUAGCACAUUAUGCCUUUUAACCUCUCAAUGUAUUGUACCACUUUGAUAGUAAAUAUGCUAUUUUCAGUUAUUAAAGCAGUUCAAGCCUUCUAACCCGUGGGAAUGGGGCGAAGUAAAUAAACCAAUACAGGCCGAGAAAAAGUGUCUUCUGAAUUUAGACGAACCCCUACUCGAGAGAAGUUUGUUUCAUGAAUUCUUAAAAGCAAGAUUUGCACGCAGGUAUUCAUAUCAAGUUGAUUUGUUAUUUUUCUGAUUUAUGCUGAUAAUCAUUACAAAUUCACAAGCGUCUGUUUUUAAAACAGCACUUCAGCAUGUAUGUGUCACUAGGAUACAAUUUUCUUCUGAAGAUGAGUUUUCCAGCAAGAAUCUCGCUUAGACAACAAAUUUCUUGUUACACCCUGCCGAUAGCGGGUCAACGACUAAAAACGUGCUCCGAGAGCAGAGAGCUCCUCAACCUUUCUCUGGCCAUGAGACAGGGGAUUGGCGUAUAUGUUACGCGCUGCUUGUGCAUUUUGAUAGGUGGAAAAUGUAAUAUAGCCACCAUUCAAAUGAAUUAAUUCACAUAUAGCUGUCUUCAGUCCACCCGGGAAAUGCUUCAUACGAGUACAUGUUAUCAGUCUCAACUGGAGCAGGCCAUAUCUGUUGAGUUUUAUUAUUUCCUUUUACUCGUUUGGUUAGUGUAAAUCUUGAGUGAAAAUCCCCUUAUCUUUCAUGUUGUUUGCAUGACUGUUUCGCAAUACUCCAUUGUAGAAGAUAAAUAGGAUUUGCAUUUUACUAAAAUGGGAUAGUCAAUGUUGUAUCCCAUUUUAGUAAAAUGCAAAUCCUANNNNNNNNNNNNNNNNNNNNNNNNNNNNNNNNNNNNNNNNNNNNNNNNNNNNNNNNNNNNNNNNNNNNNNNNNNNNNNNNNNNNNNNNNNNNNNNNNNNNNNNNNNNNNNNNNNNNNNNNNNNNNNNNNNNNNNNNNNNNNNNNNNNNNNNNNNNNNNNNNNNNNNNNNNNNNNNNNNNNNNNNNNNNNNNNNNNNNNNNNNNNNNNNNNNNNNNNNNNNNNNNNNNNNNNNNNNNNNNNNNNNNNNNNNNNNNNNNNNNNNNNNNNNNNNNNNNNNNNNNNNNNNNNNNNNNNNNNNNNNNNNNNNNNNNNNNNNNNNNNNNNNNNNNNNNNNNNNNNNNNNNNNNNNNNNNNNNNNNNNNNNNNNNNNNNNNNNNNNNNNNNNNNNNNNNNNNNNNNNNNNNNNNNNNNNNNNNNNNNNNNNNNNNNNNNNNNNNNNNNNNNNNNNNNNNNNNNNNNNNNNNNNNNNNNNNNNNNNNNNNNNNNNNNNNNNNNNNNNNNNNNNNNNNNNNNNNNNNNNNNNNNNNNNNNNNNNNNNNNNNNNNNNNNNNNNNNNNNNNNNNNNNNNNAAGUGCGACGUACGGUCACGCAGCCGGUGGCGCCCCGCCCGUUCCGCAUCAUCCGGCCUUGGCCUGGCCUACGCGGGGCCCGCGGUACCCGUCGACCUCGUCAGCCCCCUGAAAAAGUGCAGGGCAAAGCAGUCAAACCUGCCCUGCCUCUGAUCCCCAGGCCGACAGAAUCAGAAGCCGCAGAGGGGGAGCCCACACCCGUGGCUCAGGAUCGCUCGCAGGUCCCCAACUUUGGCGCGGGCCCCAGCUCGGAUUCGACCACACGGUCGCCCGACGCGGUCGUGGAGGGCAUCGGGACACCGCUUCGCGCUGCACCAACCCCAUCUGCCCAACCAGAUCAGCCGCUUUUAGUGGGGUCCAUAUCUUUGGACGCAACGAUCCCUGCCGAAGCUGAUCCCCACGCGGAUGACGAGACCCUGGUCCGGUCGAUGGCGGGCGCGAUGACGGCGGACCCUGCCAGCCCAAUUCUCACUUCCUCGCCUGAUGCGGGUGCGCCCACCACUACCGUGGCUGCCCCACCCCCUGCUGACACGCAUAUCAGCCCCCCGGCUACACCACCUCCCGCAGACGCGCCAAUCAGCCCUGCAGAUGCGCCAAUCAGUCCUUUGGCUUCCCCUGCGGGCCGUUUCGCUUCCCCGCCAAUCACCAUGCUGCGACCGCGCCAUCGGCGACCCACCGAGACAUGGACAUUGGGAGAGUUCCUCUCGUCCGCCACAAAGCACAUCAGCGCUGUCCUCCCCACCCCAGGAAAGCGCCUGCCGGCCGGCACUGAACUUCUCUCCGCGACGGGGCCGAUCCGCGUCCUCCUCGGCCUCCAAGACCGCUGCUCCUCCCACGGCUGAGCGUCGGGCGCAGGUGCAGGUCCUCCGCACCCUCGGCAUCUUGGGCGUCAACCAGCAGAUCACCGCUGCCGAGAUGCGGGCCUAUGACGGCAUCUUCGCCGCGCCCAUCCCCCGGUCUGUGCUCGCUGCGAUCGCAACGCUGGUUGAUCGCGAGCUGCCUCCCCUCCAGGGACCGGGGCCGACCGCGACCUCGGUGGAAGGCGGCCCCAUCGCGGUCUAAUUGCUGGGUGCAGCACCUGUCGAACAUGUUCUCAUGAAUUAUGACCUCAAACUUGUAAUCUGGAACGCCCGCGGCUUGAACGCGCGCGCUCGUCGUUCGGCCAUUCGCUCGCUCAUCUGUACCAGAGAGGCAUCCAUUGUUUGCAUUCAAGAAACAAAGAUGGAGUUCAUUUGCUCGUCGACCGUCCUUGAGACGCUUGGCUCCGAGUUCGACGAAUACGUCUACCUGCCGGCAGUUGGCACCCGCGGUGGCAUACUCUUGGCUUGGAAGAGCCGGUCCGUCGCCCUCUCCAACCAGUCGUUCGGCACGAACACGCUCUCGGUCAGAGUUGCCAUGCCUGGCACCCCCGCCUGGUGGCUUACCGUGGUAUACGGGCCCUAGGCCGACGCGACGAAGAUCGCCUUCCUACAGGAGCUUCGCGACGUGCGAGCUGCCUGCCCUGGACCUUGGAUGCUAUGCGGGGACUUCAACUUGAUCUAUCGCGAGGAGGAUAAGAACAACCGCAACCUCAACCGCCGCAUGAUGGGCAAGUUUCGCCGCCUGAUCGACGACCUUGCGCUCAAAGAAGUAUACCUCAACGGUCGCUGGUACACGUGGUCAAACGAGCAAUCGCCGCCGACGCUCGUGCGCCUCGACAGCGUCCUGUGCACAUCAGACUGGGAAGAGCUACAUGGGGAGUGCCACCUCCGCUGCCUCGCGUCUGUCGUCUCUGACCAUAGCGCUCUGUUGCUGGACUGCUGCCCCUUGCCUCGCGCUCACCGGCGAUUCCACUUCGAGCAGUUCUGGCUCCGCCUGGAUGGCUUCUAGGACGUGGUGACCAUGGCUUAGGGCUCCGUCACUCAUUGCGAUCCCUUCAAGCGCAUGGUGCUACGCCUCCAGGCCACCGCCCGUGCGCUUACUAGCUGGAGCGCCCGCUCGGUCGACGGUGUCCGCCUCAAGCUCGCAAUCGCGCGGGAGCUGAUCUCUCGUUUCGACAAGGCGCAAGAGGACCGGGCCCUCACCCCCGACGAGCGCUGGCUACGCUCCCAGUUGAAGGUAUCCUACCUCGGGCUUGCCUCGCUCGAGCGCACCAUUGCCCGCCAGCGAGCGCGGAUUACCUCGUUGAAGGACGGUGAUGCCAACACCUCCUUCUUCCACCGCCAGAGCACCUACCGCAGGCAGAAGAACAGGAUCUACAACAUCAGCAUCGACGGUCACACGAUUUCUAGCCACGACGACAUGACGGACGCGGCCUUCGCACACUUUGAUGGCCUACUUGGCACCGCCGUCGACCGCGAGUGCUCGCUCCUUCUUGACGAGCUCAUCGAGCCCGCCGACGGCCUCCUCGCCCUCGAGGAGCCGUUCGCCGCCGAGGAAAUCUGGCACGCUAUUCAGCGACUCCCCGCGCAUAAGGCGCCGGGCCCCGACGGCUUCACUGCAGAGUUCUUGCGCGCUUGCUGGCCCACGGUGCGGCAAGACCCGGUGGACGUCUUCUAGCAGCUCUACGACAUGCGCGGCCGAGGUUUCGACCGCCUCAACCAGGCGCUGCUCACCUUGCUCCCCAAGCGGGCCGACGCCGCCACCUUCGGGGAUUACAGGCCGAUCAGCCUCAUCCACCUCGUCGCCAAGGUGUUCGCCAAAGUGCUCUCCCUCCGCCUUGGCCCAGAGCUGGAUCGCCUCGUCAGCCUGAACCAAAACGCAUUCAUCCCUGGGCGCAGCCUCCACGACAACUUCGUUCUCGUCAAGCAAUCAGCACGGCUACUCCACCAGCUCAAAGCCCCACGCGCCCUCCUCAAGCUGGACCUGACCAAAGCAUUCGACUCAGUCUCCUGGCCUUUUGUCUUCGAGGUGUUGCACCGCUACGGUUUUGGCACCCGCUUCCGAGCUUGGCUGGCCAUCUUGCUGUCUUCGGCGAGCACCCGGGUGCUGCUCAAUGGCGACCCGGGCCCCCCGAUUUGGCAUCGUCGAGGAUUCCGACAGGCCGACCCGCUGUCCCCGCAGCUCUUCGUCCUUGCCGUCGACGUGCUCGGCCGGCUCGUCAACCGGGCCACCUCGCUGGGUCUCCUACAACGCCUACACCCACGGCACACGGUACCGGCAAUCUCGCUGUACGCCGACGAUGUCGUGCUGUUUUGCCAUCCAUCGCCGGACGAGAUCACCGCUGUCAAGGGCAUCCUGCGCCUCUUCGGCCGCGCCUCCGGACUUCACGUCAACUUCGCCAAGAGCACAGCGACACUCAUUCGCUGCGACGAGGAGGCGGCAACCUACUUGGGAAUCCCACUCACGAUCCGGCGACCGACGGCGGCGCAGCUACAGCCCCUGGUAGACAAGGUGAGGGGCCAAUUGCCGUCAUGGAAGGCCUGACUCAUGAACAAGGUUGUGCGCCUCGCGAUGGUGAAAUCCGUCCUCUGCGCAGUCCCCAUUCACCAACUGCUCGUUUUCGCACCGCCCAAGAAGACUAUCAAGCAACUAGAGAAGAUCGAGCGUGGCUUCCUGUGGGCUGGCCGUGAGGCUGCCAAUGGGGGUAACUGCCACGUGAACUGGCGGUGCACAUGCCGCCCCAUCGAGCUUGGAGGCCUUGGCAUCCCAGACCUCGAGCGCACCGGGCUGGCUCUCCGCCUGCGGUGGCUUUGGCUCAGCCACACCGACCAGAACAAAGCUUGGAGUGGGCUCGACCUGCAGUUCUCGGUGGACGAACGCGCCCUGUUCUUCGCCUGCACCACGAUGUGCCUGGGGAACGGCCUCUCGGCCCUCUUCUGGGACGAUAGUUGGAUCGGCGGCCGAUCUGUCGGCGAGAUAGCUCCGCGGCUCCUCGCCUGCAUCCCCAUGCGCAGGAGAAAGGCGCAGACAGUUGCGGAAGGGCUCAAUGCCAACGCCUGGGCUCGCGACAUUGAGGGCACUCUCGGUGUCCACGAGAUUGGCCAGUACAUCCGCCUCUCCGCCUCUGGAACGUCAUCGAGCACACCAUCCUGCUCAACACGCCUGACCAGCUCUCCUGGAAGUGGACUACGAAUGGCUCAUACUCCGCUAAGUCCUGCUACAAGGUUACCUUCCAGGGAUCCAUCCCCAGCGCCUCCUGGAAGCUCAUCUGGAGGAGUUGGGCUCCACCCCGGGUGCGUUUCUUCCACUGGCUCGCUGACCAGGAUAGAUGCUGGACCUCCGACCGCCUAGCUCGUCGCGGGCUGCAGCACCACAACCCUUGCAUUUUGUGCUGCCAGGACCCCGAGACUAUGGACCACUUGCUCCUCCGCUGCCCCUUCUCCAGGCAGGUCUGGCAAAGCAUCAUUGCCUGGCUCCGCUUGCCGUGCACCGCCCCCAGCAAUGAGACUUCCCUUCUCGCCUGGUGGCAUCGCGCCAAGCGGAGCAUGCCGCACCCCAUGCACAAAGGCUUCGCCUCCGUGACCCUGCUGACCCCGUGGAUGAUAUGGAAACACCGCAACAGCUGUGUGUUUGAGGGCACCCAACCCUCUAUGAACGACCUGGUCGUGAAGAUCAAAGAAGAAGCGUCCCUCUGGACCAAGGCAGGAGCGGCCGGUCUCCGUAUCAUCUACCCCCAGACCUGGGAUGUACACUAGUCAUAGGCUUUUCUAUUCCCAGCAUUGCCCCUCCUAGGAGGAUUGUAAUAUAAACUCUUCCUUUUCUAUACAAAGAAACACAUGUAUCUCACUUCGUUUUCUGGAAAAAAAAAUGUUGUAUGCCCUAUUUUUUACAGCUUGUUGAGUUUUUCUCAUGGUUUCAUUUUUUUCCGGCUUUUACCUGUUAAUGUUUUCAACUAGAAAAAUAAAGCAUGGAACUGUGUAGUUCUUGGAUUCCUGCUGUCAGUGGCUAUCUGCUAAACACUAUCAAUAUACAAUCUUUUGUAAUAUUGUAUGGUCUAACUCUUGUUUGGAAUUUUCCUACUUUCAGUAAUGCACUUGGAACAGCAGCUGAUAGUUGGUUAGUAUAUAUGGACCGACUGUUAACAGAUGGCAUUGAUGAAGAUGAAAAUAGUGUACUAGAAAGAAAGAUAAAGAGGUUGGUUGAUCUUUAUUAUUUGGCUCUGGACGCUCCAAAGGCCGGGACCAAGGUUAAUUCCAUUCUCGAGUUUACACAAUCUGUAGUUUCAGAUGCCUUUAUGCACUAUACUAUAUAGCUCCAUGCGCAUCACCCUUCCAUACUAUUGGUUAUUAUCAUAUUUUGGAAUUGAACUGCUAGAUGUCCACAUAUUAUCCGGUAUUUGGCUAACAUCUAAUGGAAGGGAACUGAAUGAACUGUUCUCUUAUAAAAGAUAGAACACCUUGCCUAAUUAGUUAGGUGUAUUGUAGUCUCCAGCAUGGUUAAGUAUUUAAAAAAAAUCGAACUUCCAAUUCAAUAUGCACUAGAAGAAGAAAAAGGAAUAAGUUUUCUGAUGAACGGUGGCAAUUCUCCUUUUAUUUUCUUUUUUCAUUUUGCUUUACCAUCUGUCAGAUUUCACAUUUUUGUUAGUGCUGACAUGGAAUGAGUUUGAAAUUUCAUAUAGUUAGAGUAAAUUGCUAGAAUUUUUUGUGAGAAUAGUCACAUAUUAAUUUAGUUCUUAAAACACACACAACUGCAUGGCCUGUAUAUAUUUCCCCUCCCCUGCUCUCUCUUAGUUCUCUCCCCUCCCGUGCUCUCUCCUGUAUAUAUUUCCCUCUCAUGUACUUAUUUUCCUAUUAAUAUAUUUACUGUCAGGCCCUCGCCUACAGUUUUCGCUAAAAACAAAGAGGAUGAUCAGUAGCAUAUGUUGGCUACUUAUUUAAUACUAGCUCCGUUCCUAAAUAUAAGACGUUUUGGCAGUUUAAUUUCAACUGCCAAAACAUCUUAAAUUUAGGAACAGAGGGUGUACUUGUAAGGCUACCACAUGCAAAGCAUUUAUAUGUACACAGUUUUAAGCCUUUUCUAAUCAUUUUCCUUCCCUCAACAGAUCAAUGUCCCUGCUGAGCUGACAGCAAAAACGUAUCCGCACUACAUGGAUCGAAAGGAAAGCUACCAUUCGACAUCCAUACUAGGAAAAAUUUAUGACGAAGCAGAAAAAAAGCAAUAUGAGAAAGUUGAACCAGUUGGUAAGUUGCUACUUUAGCUCUUUCUUGUUGUGUUUUCACUUUGAUUUUUAUUUGGCCAGUUUUUUUUUACUUUACUACAGUAUGUAACUUCAAUCGCUAGUUUUUUUGAUGUGUGGGGGUGGGGUGGGGGUUGUUGAUGAUAUGAGAUCUUCAUUACCGAGGUGGCAUCUCAGGCGUGUUGAGAUGAGAUGCUGUCAGAUGGGGGAGCGGGUGGCUGCAAUGUGAAAACAGCGCUGAGCUGGAGCGCCAGGGAGGAGGCCAGAUAGCGUGUGUAGGAUCGAUAGAAGGGGUGUCUAGAGGGGGGGGUGUGUGUGUGAAUAGACUACUUGAUAAGAUUAAAAUCCUAGCCUUUUCCCAAUUUUAUGGUUGACAGAUUUUAGCAAUUCUAACAAGUCUAGUGCACCCUACACAUGCUAGUCAACAUAUAUGGCAGCGGAAAAGUAAAGACUUUGCACAUGUAAUAAGGAGUAGAAUUUAGGAGAUCAAACGUAAAGAGGUUUACACGGCGAUUUUUGGCAUGGUUCCGAUAGGUGGCGCUAUCGUACGUCCAUGUUAGUGGAGACUUCAACCCACGGAGGGUAACGGUUGCGAGAGUCUACGGAGGGCUUCACCCACAAGGGGUCCACGAAGAAGCGGCCUUGUCUAUUCCACCACGGCUUCCGUACACGAAGGACUAGCUUCAUUCACGGUAGAUCUUCAUAAAGUAAGCGAUCUCCUUGCUCUUACAAACAUCUUGGUUCAACUCCACAACACGAAGUAGGAGGCUCCCAAAUGACACCUCACCAAUCGAGGAGGCACCACCCUCCAAAAGGUAAUAGAUGUGGUAGAACGGUGAACUCCUUGCUCUUCUGCUUCUAAAGAUAGUCUCCUCAACACUCAAUCAUUCUCUCACAGAUUUGAUGGAAAGCAACUUGGGGAGGCUAGAGAUCAAGUUUCAAAUGGAUGGUUGGAAUAUCUUGAUCUCAACACAUGAGUAGGUGGCUCUCUCUCAGAAAAAUGGAUCUGGCAAUGGAGUGUGUGUUCUGAGUGCUUCCUCUACGAAUGAGAGGUAGGUGGAGGGGUAUAUAUAGGCAGCCCCUAAAAUCCAACCGUUACACCUAAAGUGACCAACCCGGUGACACCGAAGUUAUAAACUCGGUUGGUACCUGUUAGACUAUAUAUAAUAUAGCCACGUACCCCUUUGUAUUUAUCCCGUUGUAUAAGGGGUUUUCUGCAUAUAGUCCAAACCUGUACAUGUAUAUAUAUCGGCCUAUGGCCUCAUGGGAAUACUAAGUUGCAUAUUCCUAACAUGGUAUUAGAGCUAGGUCAAUUUUUUGCACGCUGCAACUCGUGCGAUUGAUCCUCGAUCUCCUCCUACUCCUCCCGAUCGGAGCUAGCCAGAUCCGCCGGCCUCGCUCGAUCUGCUCGCCCUGCUCGUUCUCCCGUCGGCUCCCGCUCAAUCUGCUCGCCGCUCCCGCUUGAUCUGCUCGCCGCUCCCGCUCCUGCUCGAUCUGCUCGCCGCUCCCGCCCGGAUCAACGCAAGCUCGUGGGAUCCAGCGCUCCCGCUCGAUUUGCUCGCAGCUUCUGGCUCGUGGGAUCCAUCGCUCUUGCUCGAUUCGCUUGCAGCUUCUGGUGGUUCCAGCCGCUCCUGCUCGAUUCGCUCAUGACGCAGGCUCUUGGGAUCCAGCUGCUCCUUCCGGUGGUCCGCUCGUGGGAUCCAGCUGCUUGCCUGAUCGCACCAGCCCCGCUCCGCAUAUUCCAAAAAAAAAGAAAAAGAAAAAGAAAAAAAGGUACUACACCAGCACACAACGUUGCAGUCCCUUGCUUCUCGUGACUCCUGACGGCUGUGCUGGUAGUUCUUCUGUUGCUCCUGCGAGCUCUACAUAUGGUGAUUGUCGCUCUACACCGACUCCUCUCGCGACUUUCAUCGGUGCAUGUCGCUCUUCCCCGACACCUCUCGCGACUUUCACAGGUUGUUCUGGUGCCUAUGACUCCAUGGACUGCUCUUCAUCCACGCGUCUUCCCUUGGUGCUUGGUGCUUGUCUGCACACGGCCUUGUCUUCUCCACCGGUCUUUGCCGACGAUACUGGACAUGCUACAUCGCCAUAUUUAGCGGCUUCCACAUGUGGUGGUGGUUGCUUCUCUCCUCGUGCCAUUACGCCGCCCACUUCAGCUGUGUACUUCACCGAGGACGAGAUUGCGCGACUUCGCGCCCUGCUGCUUGCCUCCGACUCUCCAUUAUCGGGUGUGUCUACAUCGACAUCUUCAGUUGCGUCCUUGGCUGAGCAGGAGAUUGGACGAUUUCGAUGUGUGCUAGCCCCAUCUUUUGUUUCUUCAUCGACAGGUUUUGUUGGUUCUGCUACGGACUCUUCCGGCAUUGUGAGACCACCUUCUACACACGCAGGUACAUCUCCGUGGGUUCUUGAUACUGGAGCAUCUUUUCAUAUGACUAAUGUUUCAUCCACUCUGUCAUCUACUCGACCUCUUGAUUCUCCUGUUCAUGUUCUUACUGCUGAUGGUACUUCUCUCCCGGUUACUGGCCGAGGCACUCUUAGCACUUCAUCUUUUCAUGUUCCUGAUGUUGCUCAUGUUCCUCAGCUUACCAUGCAGCUCCUUUCUGGUGGCCAGAUUGUUGACUCUGGUUGUCGGGUCAUUCUUGACUUUGACUCAUGUUCAGUUCUGGACCGUCACACUGGUGCUCUUCUUGGUGCUGGCCCCCGGCGCCGUGACUCUCAGGGUCUCUGGGAGCUUGACUGGCUUCACCUUCCAUCCGCUGCCACCGUAGCCAGUCUCUCCUCUUCUGUUGCCUUGUCUACCAGCUCUUUUCAACGGUGGCAUCAUCGUCUGGGUCAUUUAUGUGGCUCCCGUCUCUCAUCCUUAGUUCGACGUGGUCUUCUUGGAUUCGUCUCCGGUGGCGUGUCUUUAGACUGUCAGGGCUGCCGGCUUGGUAAACAGGUUCAAUUACCUUAUCCACAUAGCAAGACUGUGUCUCAGCGUCCUUUUGACCUUGUUCACUCGGAUGUUUGGGGUCCAGCUCCCUUUGCCUCGAAGGGAGGCCAUCGCUACUAUAUUAUCUUUAUAGAUGAUUUCUCUCGAUACACGUGGAUCUAUUUUAUGUCUUCUCGUAGUGAGGUAUUAUCUAUCUAUAAGCGUUUUGCUGCCAUGGUUUACACUCGGUUCUCUACGCCUAUUCGUGUGUUCCGUGCUGACUCUGCUAGAGAGUACAUCCCCAAGGUGUUGCGUGGAUUUCUCGCUGAGCAGGGUACACUUGCUCAGUUCUCUUGUCCUGGUGCCCAUGCUCAGAAUGGUGUGGCUGAGCGCAAGCAUCGUCACUUCUUGAGACGGCUCGUGCGAUGAUGAUUGCUGCCUCUCUCCCGCCUUAUUUCUGGGCUGAGGCCGUCUCCACCUCCACCUAUCUCAUCAAUCUACAACCUUCCGCUGCUCUACAGGGUGGUGUUCCUUUUGAGCGUCUUUUUGAUCGUUUUCCCGAUUCUUCGAUGCUUCACCUGUUUGAUUGUGUUUGCUAUGUUCUUCUUGCCCCACGUGAACGCACCAAACUGACCGCACAGUCUGUUGAGUGUGUCUUCUUAGGCUACAGUGAUGAGCAUAAGGGCUAUCGUUGUUGGGAUCCUAUCGGUCGUCGGAUGCGUAUCUCUCGGGAUGUGACUUUUGAUGAGUCUCGUCCCUUCUACCCACGCCUAUCUUCCUCGACCUUUUCAGUGGAGGAUAUCUCUUUCCUCACUUUUCCUAUACACCUCUCACCCCCAUCGAGCCUUUGCCUAUUCGUUCUGCUCCCUCUGCUUCUCCACCUCUUGUCGAUUUGCCACCACCAUCUCCCAUGGUCUCCUCCCCUCGCAUAUCACCGGAUUCUGCACCUUCAUCUCCGGUGACUUCUUCGUCUUCACCCCCUGAUUCUCCCUUGGCGAUCCCUCCUUGCAUUGUUCCAUCUUUUCCUCAGUGUUACACUCAUCGUUCACGUCACGUGGAUGACUCUGCGGAUGUGUCGUCAUCCUCGUCUCAGCCUCCCUAUGGCUUGCGUUCUCGCCCUCGUCCGCCUGUUGAUCGCCUUGGAUUUCCCACUGGUGGUGCUGCUGUUCUUGAGCCGACUUCCUAUCGUCAGGUUGUUGUUCAUCCUGAAUGGCAGUUUGCGAUGGCAGAGGAGAUUGCUGCUCUUGAACGCACUGGUACAUGUGAUCUUGUUUCCCUUCCUCCCGGUGUCCAUCCCAUCACAUGUAAGUGGGUCUACAAGGUUAAGACUCUCUCCGAUGGUUCUCUUGAGCGUUAUAAAGCUCCUCUUUGUUAGGAAUAAGCAACUUGUAUUCCCAUGAGGCCAUAGGCCGGUAUAUAUACAAGUAUAUAUACAUGUACAGGUGAUGGACUAUAUGCAGGAAACCCCUUAUAUACAAAAGGGUACAUGACUUAUAUUAUAACUCUAACACCACCCCUCAAACUCAUGGUGGAUGAACAACAAUGAGUUUGGAGAGAUAAAAACCAUGUUGUGCUCUAGUCUGGGCCUUCGUUAGGAAAUUCGCCAACUCUUAACUCUGAAGGCACAUACUGAAGAGCAACAACCUGAUCCUGCACAGCAACGCGCACAUAGAAAGCAUCAACAUCAAUAUGCUUGGUGAGCUCAUGCUUCACAGGAUCGCGCGCAAUGCUAAUAGCACCUGUACUGUCAGAUAAGAGCAGAGUCGGUGUAGUGACAGAAACACCAAAAUCCUGAAGUAACCACCGUAACCAAGUCAUCUCCGCCGUCAAAAGAGCCAUCGCUCGCAACUCAGCCUCUGCACUCGAACGGGAAACUGCAACCUGUUUCUUCGUCUUCCAGGCAAUGAGAGAACCACCAAGAAAAACACAGUAAGCAGAAAGUGAACGGCGAUCUGAAGGAUCACUAGCCCACGUAGCAUCCGAAUAGGCCUGAAGCUGUAAAGAACUGUCGCGAGGAAAGAAUAGACGGUGAGAGAUCGUGCCCCGAAGAUAUCGGAGAACAUGGAGGAGAUGACUAUAGUGAACCGAUGUGGGAGCAGAGACGAACUGACUCAGAAUAUGAACCGGAUAAGAGAUAUCCGGACGAGUGACAGCGAGAUAAACAAGACUGCCAACAACAUGAUGAUAACGCGUCGGGUCAGGCAGGGGAUCACCAUCAGUAGCAGAGAGGUGAACAUUGAGCUUCAUAGGAGUCUCAACAAUGCGCUCAUCAGUAAGAGUAGCACGAGCAAGAAGAUCCUGGAUAUACUUUUCCUGGGAUAUAAAGAAGCCAUCAGAGGUAGAACAAACUUCAAUCCCAAGAAAGUAGCGAAGAGGUCCAAGAUCAGACAUAAGGAACUGCUCACUAAGUCGGGCCUUGACAAAGGCAAUAUACUCGGGGUCAUCCCCAGUGAUGACCAUGUCAUCAACGUAGAGAAGAAGAAGAAUCCGACCACGAGGAGAAAGGUGAAUAAACAAUGCUGGAUCAUGAACACUGGGUGAAAAACCAGCGACAGUCACCACAGAGGCAAAACGCUCAAACCAGGUGUGUGGGGCUUGCUUAAGGCCAUAGAGAGAGCGACGAAGACGACAUACCAUGCCAUCAGGAACAAAAUACCCAGGUGGUGGCUGCAUGUAAACCUCCUCACACAGCUCACCGUUAAGAAAAGCAUUCUUAACAUCAAGCUGAGAGAUAGACCAGUGGCGUGUAGAGGCCACGACAAGAAGUGUACGAACAGUGGUCAUAUGAGCAACAUGAGCAAAAGUCUCGUAAUAAUCACGACCAUGCUCCUGCUGAAAACCAGGAGCCACAAGAUGAGCUUUGUGACGCUCAAGAGAACCAUCUGAGCGAGUCUUAACCUUGUAGACCCACUUACAAGUGAUGGGACGCACUCCGGGAGGAAGGGAAACAAGAUCCCACGUACCAGUGCGUUCAAGAGCAGCAAUCUCCUCUGCCAUCGCAAACUGCCAUUCAGGAUGAACAACAGCCUGAUAAUAAGUAGUUGGCUUAAGAACGGCAGCACCAGGGGUGGAAAAUCCAAAGCGAUCAACAGGCUGUAGAUGAUCAUCCUGCUCAGUCAAAGCGAUGGCUGAAGUUGUCGAGGUAGAUGACGAAGUCUCUGUAGAUGAUCAUCGCGCCUUGCGCAAGUGUUUCUUCUUCGUGUAGCAAUGGGACUCAAUAUGGCCAUCAUUGUUGCAGUAGCCACAAUGUGGAUGAGGGCGACCUGAGCCUGCAGGAGUGGGCAAGAGCGGCGGAGCACUUGAGCGAGAAGGUGUCGGUGCAGCAGGUAACGUAGAAGGAGACCGAGCAGCGAGCACCAAGGGAACCUCCAACAAACCAGCACCACAUAAGCGAGUCUCCUCAGCACGAAUCUCAGAAAGCGCCUCCAUGAGAGAGAUACGACCACGAGCAAACAACUGAGCACGUCGGGGCUCAAACUCCUUACGGAGCCGAGACAGGAACUCGUAGACGCGAUGAAACUCCAAAUCGGCCUGGACAGCCUUGCAACAGGGGCAAGUACGACAACCAGCACUGCGGAGAGAAUCAAGCUGGCGCCAGAUAGCAGAACUUUGUGCGUAGAAGUCAUCAACAGUAGAGUCACCCUGCUGAAGAGCAUGCUCCUGACGGACCAUAGAGAGGUAUAAGGCAUCACCCGUGGGUUCAUAGCGCUGACGAAGGCGAGUCCACAUCUCAAACACAGUAGGAAGGCCUAGAAACUCAGAGGCAAACUGAGGCAGAACGCUAGCAGUGAGAACGGCUGAAGCACGAGCAUCAUCAUCAAGCCACUGGGUGUAAGCAGACAGAGCAUCAUGAUACGUCUGAAGAGCCUCCUCAUAAGCCAAAGCCUUCUCAUCAUAAGCACGGAUAGCGGCCUCAUCAGCAAGCUUAGCCGCAUCCUUUGCGGACUGAGAAGCAUCCGUAGGAAGAGCCGGUGGGGUCGGCGGAGUGGGAGCCACGGGAGGAACCGAACAUGGCGGACAACAGACCUCGCCAGAAAGAAAACCCCAUUGGCGGAUGCCACGCAUGUGAAUGCGCAUGAAGCCAAUGAACUCGGUGUAAUUAGUGCCAUCAAAGAUCACCGGACAACGAGGAACAGCAACGUAGCCGGAUGAAGCAGACAUUUUUUUUUUUAGAACUCACGGGAGCUGCAGAGCAGAGAGGGCCGGUGGAAGCCAAGCUUGAGCGGGAGCAAAGCAGACGACGAGGCAGCGACUUGCGUCCCGAUCGGAGUCAAAGCAGGAGGAGGCGCUCUUCUCUCUGGAUCGAGGCACUGUCCCGUCUGGAUGAAAAGUGGCAGGAGGAUUCGUCUGGAUCCCGUGUGGAUUGGAUUCGUUUGGAUGAAAAGCGGCAGGAGGAGGCGCUCGAUCCCGUCUUGAGGUGCUCGAUCCCGUUGGGAUUGAAUCGGUAGCAGGAGGAGGAAGCUCCAGAGAUCGAUCCCAGAGGCAGGCGCUCGAUCCCGUCUGGAGCCAGAAGCUAAAAAAACAGCCGACCUUCCAGAGAUCGACCCGAGACGGAGUAGAGGCUGGAGACCAGGUUCGAUCCGAGACGGCUUCUCCCUGGAUCCUAGCGGAUCGAGGCUGGGCGGCGCCUGAAGUCCUGGAACCGCCGCGAGAGCAGAGUCGGUUCUGGACGGGAUCCGGCGACGAGGGUGACGAGGAGGAGCGGAUCAACAGUACGAGUUGCGGCGUGUAAAAGUUAACCUAGCUCUGAUACCAUGUUAGAAAUAAGCAACUUGUAUUCCCAUGAGGCCAUAGGCCGAUAUAUAUACAUGUUAGGAAUAUGCAGGAAACCCCUUAUAUAUUGGGAUAAAUACAAAAGGGUACAUGACUUAUAUUAUAACUCUAACAGUCUUGUGGCUCGUGGCUUUCAGCAGGAGCAUGGUCGUGAUUACGACGAGACUUUUGCUCCUGUGGCCCAUAUGACCACUAUUCGUACACUUCUUGCCGUGGCCUCUGUAUGCCACUGGUCUGUAUCUCAGCUUGAUGUUAAGAAUGCCUUUCAUAAUGGUGAGCUGCGUGAGGAGGUGUACAUGCAACCACCACCUGGGUAUUCUGUUCCUGAUGGCAUGGUAUGUCGUCUUCGUCGCUCUCUCUAUGGCCUUCAGCAAGCCCCCCGCGCCUGGUUUGAGCGCUUUGCCUCUGUGGUAACUGCUGCUGGUUUUUCAGCCAGUGCUCAUGAUCCAGCAUUAUUUGUCCAUCUUUCUCCUCGUGGUCGGACUCUUCUUCUCUAUGUUGAUGACAUGAUCAUCACUGGUGAUGACCCCGAGUAUAUUGCCUUUGUAAAGGCCCGUCUUAGUGAGCAGUUUCUUAUGUCUGAUCUUGGACCUCUUCGCUACUUUCUUGGGAUUGAAGUCUCUUCUACCUCUGAUGGCUUUUUAUAUCCCAGGAAAAGUAUAUCCAGGAUCUUCUUGCUCGUGCUGCUCUUACUGAUGAGCGCAUUGUUGAGACUCCCAUGGAGCUUAAUGUUCACCUUCGUGAUACCGAUGGUGAUCCAUAUUCUCAGUCAGUUCGUCUCCGCUCCUACCUCGGUUCACUAUAGUCACCUCCUUCGUGUUCUCCGAUAUCUUCGGGGCACGAUCUCUCACCGUCUAUUCUUUCCUCGCUCCAGUUCUUUACAGCUUCAGGCCUAUUCGGAUGCUACGUGGGCUAGUGAUCCUUCAGAUCGCCGUUCACUUUCUGGUUACUGUGUUUUUCUUGGUGGUUCUCUCAUUGCCUGGAAGACGAAGAAACAGACCGCAGUUUCCCGUUCGAGUGCAGAGGCUGAGUUGCGAGUGAUGGCUCUUUUGACGGCAGAGGUGACUUGGUUACGGUGGUUACUUCAGGAUUUUGGUGUUUCUGUCACUACACCGACUCUGCUCUUAUCUGACAGUACAUGUGCUAUUAGCAUUGCGCGUGAUCCUGUGAAGCAUGAGCUCACCAAGCAUAUUGGUGUUGAUGCUUUCUAUGUGCGCGCCGGUGUGCAGGAUCAGGUUAUUGCUCUUCAGUAUAUGCCUUCCGAGUUACAGUUGGCGGAUUUCUUGACGAAGGCCCAGGCUAGAGCGCAACAUGGCUUCUAUCUCUCCAAACUCAGUGUUGUUCAUCCACCAUGAGUUUGAGUGGGGGGGGGGGUGUUAGAGUAUAUAUAAUAUAGCCAUGUAUCCUUUGUAUUUAUCCCAUUGUAUAAGGGGUUUUCUGCAUAUAGUCCAAACCUGUACAUUUAUAUAUAUCGGCCUAUGGCCUCAUGGGAAUACUAAGUUGCAUAUUCCUAACAGUACCGACUUGCACAAAAGGCAGCAACUUUUGAAUCUCGGUGGAACCGAUAUACACAACUCGGUGGCACCGAAAAGGUGGCUAACGGUCACAUGAUCCAACUCGGUGACACCGAUACCCAAACUAGGUAAUUCCGAUUUUGUUUACCGAGGCAACAGAAAGUUGGUCACCUGAACUCGGUAGCACCGAUACUGAAUCGGUUACAUCGAAAUGGUAGGUUUGGCUAGGGUUCUGUCUGAGAUGAAAAUCGGUAGGGCCGAAAUGAGAAUGUUGGUGGCACCGAUUUUAUGUAUGUGGCUUUGGAUAGAAUGGUUAUGUGGAAAAAUGACUGAGUAUUUUUGGUGGGUAUCUUUGAGCACUUGAGCAACUAGUUCAUUUGAAUACCUCACCCCCUUUUAAUAGUAUUGGCUUUCCUAUGGACUCAAAAGUGAUGUCUCACAAAUGUAAAAUGAAGAGUUUUCUAGUUUGAAGCUUGAGUCAAUUUUAUUCCUUUCUUGCAUCAAGGGGCAUCUCCACAUAAGCCUUUAGCCAAUGCUCUUUGUGGACUAAACCUGAAACAUACUAGGUAAAAGUGUUAGUCCAAGAGACAAUGUAUGCUGUCAUGAAUUGUCAAAACCACCAAGGGAGCAUAUGUGCUUUCAGCGUGGCCAAGCUCCGCCGUGCGCUGCUGCCGUCGAACUCGACACGCAUGAGCUCCUCUAGGAGAGAAGACAGGCGACGGCGAUUAACAACGACUUGGACGAAGUCCUUUGGCAGGAAUGUAUAGCGGAGCGAGGGGAAGCUCUAGGAAAGCUCUAGGACACGGCUUGCAAGGUGAGGAGGAGGUGUUGGCCGUGCGGGCGAAGAACUGCAGCGCGGUUGGCAUGGACUGAGCUCCGGCUGCGGUCUCGUCAUACAGGAGGAGGGGUUGAGGCUGACAAGAGGGCCCCACUGGUCAAAUACUGCUCUGACCUCGUCCACAUCAGCAAACACCUGAGCAAACCCACCUAAGACGAUUUUUGCACGGUACUGGAUAGAUCAGAGAGUUAAGAGAGCAGAAAGAAUGGUCACAGGAUGUUAUGUGAACCAUCCAUUCUGUUCAGGGUAGUAAAAUGGAUUUUUUUCGAGAAAAGAUAUAGUGACUGUGCAAUAUGGCCAAGACCAGGGACUAUCCUUUUUGUGGGCAUGCAGCUCCUGAUUUUGUUGUUAGCUGUGCGCUCAGAUGACAUUUUAGGGUACUUAAAACAGUAAUUUCUUGUUUGUGUUUUGGUCUUGUCAUAUCAGAGAUAUCGUUGGACCCGCGCUUCACGGAGAGAGCAGCAUCUUCAGGAUACAAGUACCUGAACCUCUGGACAGGCCGUUAUCGGGAUUACUUGAACGAGAGUGGGCCCCUGAUUGACAAUCAGGACAAGGAAGAAACAGACCUGAAGUUCAAAGAACUCUACCAAAAGUACAAAUACGUAAGUUCCCAGUCCUCCGCUGAACAACACCACCAUGACCGAGGCUCCUACAAAAGCAUAUUGAAACGGCUCAUUUUGUCAUGCAGAUGCUCUACGAUGCCGCUGAAUUUGAGCAAACCCAGAGGAACCUUGAUGAAGUGUUCGACGAGGUCUGCACGAUCUACCAGAUCGUCUAUGAGAAAGCAGCGAGGUUUAAGAAGGCUGGGAGAUGCAACUUCGUGUGGAAUGUGGCGGGCCGUGCACUGUGCCGUUUCUAUGCUCUUGAGACCGAGGGCGACAAAGUGCUUGUUCCAUUGACGGUCGCUCGGAAUCUUACCAAAAGGCGUCGAAGGUAGCAGCGAUUCGACGGGCUGUGAAUUUGAUCGACUCCAUGUUGUAUCAAGUAGGUAUAUUGUGGCGGAUAAUAUAUUAGGUGUUGACGUUUCAAACUGCUGGGUUUAGUUUAGUGUAGGCUGUAUUUAUUUGUACCUGCUUCAAACUUGUGGUGUGUGCUGUGCGCUCGAAUCGCGUGUUGGUAUGUACCUCCUUCGUUCUUAAAUAUACCUCUUUUUAGAGGCUCUAGUAAAGACUAGAUAUACAAAUGUAUAUAGAUGUACUUUAAAGUGUAGAUUUUGAAUCAUUUUGCUCUCUGUACGUAGCCCAUAAUAAAAUCUCUAAAAAAGACAUAGAUGACAUGUCAUCCCCCUGUUCUUGGGAUGACAUGUCAUCUCCCUGUUCUUUUCAUAUCCUCUGUAUAUUCUUCUCAGAACCAUAUACUCCCUCCGUUCCUAAAUAUAAGACCUUUUAAAGAUUGCACUAUGAACUACAUACGGAUGUACAUAGACAUAUUUUAGAGUAUAGAUUCACUCAUUUUGCUCCGUAUGUAGUCUUCUAGUGAAAUCUUUAAAAGGUCUUAUAUUUUGGAACGGAGGGAGUAUAAUGCAAUGCAGCGUAUCCAGAUACAAUGUCACGGUGCAAACUGAUGGUGUCGCUAGUUUUAGUUGUUUUUCUCUCACGUGUCUACUAAGGGCCAAGGGCCAGUUCUUUUUGUAGCUUCUAGAAUAAGCUGAAAUAAGCUGCCUCCUACUCAGUUUAUUCUAGAAGCCUAAUUAAAUAUAUUCUUUUAGAAGCCUAUUAAUUAAGUCUUGAUUGCUAGGUUUCUAGAAAAAUAUUUUUAGUUGGGCUUUUAGAAUAAGCUGAGAAGGGGGCGGACAACUUAUUCUAAAAGCCUAAAAAAGCUACCAAAAGAAAUGGCCCUAAGGUGGUGCUGGAACUGGGUGACGGGGGUUGGCGUCAAUCUCAUGGAAUUCUUUUAGUCUUGAUUACUUUUUUUUAUCUAAAUGGUUGUAGUUAAGGAAAAUUAGAUUAGUUCUUUCUAACUACUAGCACGUUCGUACGUUGCUACGAAACUAUAAAAUACGAGGAGUUAGGUCACUGGCUUAGGAAAUUGACAAAAUACGUUGGCACCAUGUGGAAUUUGCUUGCGUUAACAAAAAUACCACAAAAUAUCAUGGGUCAGGCAUUGAAGAAUCUUAAGUGACCAUGGUCCUUUGCAGAUACAAUAUUUUAUUUAUUGAAAAAUAUGAGAAUAAACAUUGGUAAGUUGAGGUCAUAGAUCAGAUAAGAUGAUAAGGUCUAUCAUUAUUUUCGAAUUACAAUCUGUUCACUCUCUUGUUAUGUGAUAUAAAACUAAAAUAACUUGGUUGGUAAAACAAAAACAACAACAUUAUAUUGAGUUGGAGUCGCAUUUCUGCAUUUUUUAUAUAUUUGUGUCUAAGUGUUAGCCUCUCAUAAAUAGUAGUGUAUUAUUUAUUUGUGUUUGGUCCUACAUUGAGUACAAGUACAUUUGUUUAUUUAUCUUCAUGGAAGGCUGUUAUUCUUAAUGUGGAGAGGGGUGCAUUUGUUUAUUGGUGGUUGUUGGUCCCACAUGUGAACUCAUCACCAACUUCAAUCUUUAUAAAUAGGAAAGAUAAUUAUUGGGUCCUGGUAUUACCCAUAGGUGUGGGUGUUAAGGGAGUUUUGCCAUAUGCUCCGUAUGUAAGAGAAACAGUCUGUACGUCUACGUGUGGGCAAAACAGCUAACACCAACAUGUCCUGUCUUCUACCUCGCGAUCCGCACAUCCGGCCUCCUACCUAACAAAACACAAAACUGCAUUUGUCAUGUCUGAACAAUUGCAUUGUCUUGUAACACUAGAAAGACAUGGCAACUGACAGACGUGCGGGCGUGUAGACAUGCGACGACAGUUUCAUCCAAUUGUCAUGUAACACCGGAAAAUACAUAGCAACUGGCAGGCUUGUGGGCGCGUAACGAUAGUUUUACUCAGUUGUCAUGUAACACUGAAUAGACAUGACAACUGACACGCAUGCGGGCGUGUGGGUGCGACGUUAGUUUCACCAUACGUUGGGUUGGCAGCCGCGAGCUCUGCGUGCGUGAAAUAGGCGUGUGGGCAAACUGAUAAACGCCCACACACCAGCCCCUUUUUAUGUGGCAUAAAAAAUCUGUCAAGUUGUCAAGAUUCGUAUAAAUACGCAUGGACGACGAUCCAUGCGUGUGGACGAGUUAUAGAACUUUCACAUGUGUGAUCAUUCUCUUUUUUUCUAAUUAUUUAGGUAAAGAGGAAGUAUAACUUUUCUUCUUGGUUGGUGGUCCUGUGUGAGAUGCUAUUACCAUGCAAAAGAAAGUUUUUGGUUGUUUUGCAAAAGAAAGUUUUGGUUGUUUCUAUGGACGUUGCUCUGGUUUUUUAUUUGGUAUUUGGUUUAAAAAAUGACGUCGGUGCUGUUCUACGAAGAAGGACCCAGUGCACCGAAUCCAUUUUUCAGUCACAAAAGGAAAAAAGUUUAAUACUUUGACACAAAGAAAUUUCCCAAUAAAGUUUUAAGAAAAGCAAAUAGAUUGUAUUAAGAGCGUGAGGCAACAGUCAAGUGUUUCACAUCUGUUAAUGUUACUUCCUUCGUUACUAAAUACUCCUUCUGUAUCAUAGUUGGAUAAAAAAGUUUAGUUUUUUCCCAACAAUAAUUAUUAUGAUACGAAGGAAGAAAAAGACAUUUUAAAUUUUAUUACGAAUUAUAUACGGAUGGAUAUAGACAUAUUACUCCAUUUACUUACCACACAUUUUCUAACGUUGGCAUCAGAAGUGUUCCAAUUUUUCCCACCUUUCGCUCUGGCACAAGACUGAAUCCGAACGUACCUGCACUGCACUGCUCAUCUAUGCACGGAUCACUGGAGAUGGCGACCGAUGAAUCUGUCGAAGAGGAACACGAGCGAGGGACAGAUCCUGCGUGAUCUGCUACAGAUCUCCGGGGAUCCCCACGGGAUCUCCCAGAAGAUCGAUGGACGGAACGGGUGACGGUGACCAUCUUAUCUGAGGACACACGCAUGCAUGUGUGUUACGUGGUGCACAUAUACAAUGUGCAGCGCGUCAAUUCAACGUGGUUACAGGUUACUU
rnacentral:lncRNA from 1 species